rnacentral:rRNA from 1 species
GAUGAACGCUGGCGGCGUGCCUAAUACAUGCAAGUCGAGCGAACGGACGAGAAGCUUGCUUCUCUGAUGUUAGCGGCGGACGGGUGAGUAACACGUGGAUAACCUACCUAUAAGACUGGGAUAACUUCGGGAAACCGUAGCUAAUACCGGAUAAUAUUUUGAACCGCAUGGUUCAAAAGUGAAAGACGGUCUUGCUAUCACUUAUAGAUGGAUCCGCGCUGCAUUAGCUAGUUGGUAAGGUAACGGCUUACCAAGGCAACGAUGCAUAGCCGACCUGAGAGGGUGAUCGGCCACACUGGAACUGAGACACGGUCCAGACUCCUACGGGAGGAAGCAGUAGGGAAUCUUCCGCAAUGGGCGAAAGCCUGACGGAGCAACGCCGCGUGAGUGAUGAAGGUCUUCGGAUCGUAAAACUCUGUUAUUAGGGAAGAACAUAUGUGUAAGUAACUGUGCACAUCUUGACGGUACCUAAUCAGAAAGCCACGGCUAACUACGUG